UACGUAGGGGGCAAGCGUUGUCCGGAAUCAUUGGGCGUAAAGCGCGUGUAGGCGGCCAGGUAAGUCCGUUCUGAAAGCCCGGGGGCUCAACCCCGGGAGGCGGAUGGAUACUGCAGGGCUGGAGUCCGGAAGAGGCGAGUGGAAUUCCUGGUGUAGCGGUGGAAUACGCAGAUAUCAGGAGGAACACCAAUAGCGAAGGCAGCUCGCUGGGACGGUACUGACGCUAAGGCGCGAAAGCGUGGGGAGCGAACGAGG
rnacentral:rRNA from 1 species